UUUCAGAAUGGAGUUUGUUCGUACAGUUACGGCAGUAUAUUUGUGGCGAAAGGCAAGAAAAGAGAAGGAACAGAAUAAAAUAAGGAGAAGAAGGAGAUUUUGGGUUCGUCUAAUUUUUGAGAGGAGAUGAGAACUAGGUGCAGGACAAACUCUAGUAGAGGAGAUGAAAUUGAAUCCUGACAAUAACAUAUACAACUUCUUUAGAAUUAAUGCAAGUUUGUUCCAUAUUUUAUUGGAAUUAGUUGGACCUCAUUUGCAGAGAUCAGAUUUGGGUAGGGCCCCAAUUAACCCACAGACUAGCAAUUACAUUGAGAUAUAUCGCAUCAGGGGAUAGCAUGGCACCCUCGAUGGCACCUAUCUUUUUCCUUCAGAGUAGGAAACAGUUAGCGAAAUAAUUUCGUCUACCUUGGAAGUGCUGUGAAGUGUUCUUCAACCAGAGGACCUAAAACAAUCGGAGGAAGAAGAUUUCAAAAAAGUACCUCAUGGUUUCAAGAGAGUUUGGAACUACCCA